GACGAACGCCGGCGGCGUGCCUAAUACAUGCGAGUUGAGCGCUGAAGGUUGGUACUUGUACCAACUGGAUGAGCAGCGAACGGGUGAGUAACGCGUGGGGAAUCUGCCUUUGAGCGGGGGACAACAUUUGGAAACGAAUGCUAAUACCGCAUAAAAACUUUAAACACAAGUUUUAAGUUUGAAAGAUGCAAUUGCAUCACUCAAAGAUGAUCCCGCGUUGUAUUAGCUAGUUGGUGAGGUAAAGGCUCACCAAGGCGAUGAUACAUAGCCGACCUGAGAGGGUGAUCGGCCACCUUGGGACUGAGACACGGCCCAAACUCCUACGGGAGGCAGCAGUAGGGAAUCUUCGGCAAUGGACGAAAGUCUGACCGAGCAACGCCGCGUGAGUGAAGAAGGUUUUCGGAUCGUAAAACUCUGUUGGUAGAGAAGAACGUUGGUGAGAGUGGAAAGCUCAUCAAGUGACGGUAACUACCCAGAAAGGGACGGCUAACUACGUG
rnacentral:rRNA from 1 species